CAGUUGGUCCAGGACAGGAUUAUUGUCAAGUUUUCAAAAUUAAAUUUGAAUUUUUUGAAUUUAGUCUGGAGACCCGCUGUAGCCGACGCACCCACGACGGGCACUCCCACACCAGAUGCUGCCCCUUAGGCUUUCUGUUUCUUUUUUAUUUGUAUUUGGAUCUUUUAAGAUCAUUGUAAAAAUUUUGAAGAAAUAAAUGAAGAUUAUUUUUCUAGGUCAUUGUAAAAACUUUGAAGAAAUGAAUGAAGUUUAUUUUUCUUCAUGCCCUCCGCAUUUCAUUUAUGCUUGUAUAUUUUUAUUUAGCACGCAG
rnacentral:lncRNA from 1 species